rnacentral:rRNA from 1 species
UACGGAGGGUGCGAGCGUUGUUCGGAUUUAUUGGGCGUAAAGCGCGUGUAGGCGGUUUGGUAAGUCUGAUGUGAAAGCCCCGGGCUCAACCUGGGAAGUGCAUUGGAUACUGUCAGACUUGAAUACGGGAGAGGGAAGUGGAAUUCCGAGUGUAGGAGUGAAAUCCGUAGAUAUUCGGAGGAACACCGGUGGCGAAGGCGGCUUCCUGGACCGAUAUUGACGCUGAGACGCGAAAGCGUGGGUAGCAAAC